rnacentral:tRNA from 1 species
AUUUAUAUAGUUUAAAAAAAACUUUACAUUUUCAUUGUAAAAAUAAAAUAAUUUUUUUGUAAAUU